UACGGGGGGGGCUAGCGUUGUUCGGAAUUACUGGGCGUAAAGGGCGCGUAGGCGGACAGUUAAGUUGGGGGUGAAAGCCCGGGGCUCAACCUCGGAAUUGCCUUCAAUACUGGCUGUCUUGAGUGUGAGAGAGGUGUGUGGAACUCCGAGUGUAGAGGUGAAAUUCGUAGAUAUUCGGAAGAACACCAGUGGCGAAGGCGACACACUGGCUCACUACUGACGCUGAGGCGCGAAAGCGUGGGGAGCAAACAGG
rnacentral:rRNA from 1 species